UGUAACGGGACAUGAAGCUCAACGAUCUGGCGGCGGACUAGUUGUCCCCCGUGUCCUAUAAGUAACGGGUGUUCUCAGCCCAAACCAGGGUGCAGGUGUGUGCCGACUAAUUGGCUGACCACACCCAGCCUGGGGAGGAUGCCAGGAGCAUGACACUAUACUGCCUCUCGAUUUUGAAAAUCUCAUAAGCAUCAUCAAUAACAAUUUCCAGUGAGUUUUCAUCCUGUCUCAAUAACAUUGGUCUUCAACUAUUUAUUUAAGGUGCAAUAUUUUACCAACCCAAAGUUUUAUUUUGAUCUUAAAGAGUAAAUGUGAAAUAUGAAUUAAAAUAGUCCAUGCAUUACUGAGCUCCAGAUGUUUGUCUGCCAAGAAGUCUGAAAUCAGCUAAUUCAAAUUGCUCCAGUUUGUAUACAAUCAUUAGCGAAGAUCUCUGCCUAAAUCUCCGCUCCCAAGCCAGCAGUGCCAACGUAACAAAUGUACACUUUCACAAGCUGAUAUUCGACUCAGAGGCAAUCAAUCAGAGGUAAGGUGACAGUCUUUCCCAAAUAUAGACAAAUCGGGUACAAACCUGGGUAAAACAGAAGUAGCUGUCAGACAGGCCUUUUCUGGACAAUGUUAUGACAAAACCAAGGUGUUUUUUUUAAAUCAAAUUUACACUUUGAUACCAAGUCCAUUCAUUGGAGGCGCUAAAUUGCCUCUAGGUGUGAUUGUGAGUGUGACUGUUCUCUGUCUAUAUGUGCCCUGUGAUUGGCUGGCAACAAGUUCAGGGUAUAACCCUCCCUCGCCUCAAUGACAGCUGGAAUUGGCUCCAGCACUCCCGCGACCCUCGUGAGGAUAAGCGGGUCAGAAAAUAGGAGAGACUUCAGUGAACUGAGUUCCCGAAAUGGUGGACUGAGGAACUGAAGAGCGAUUCACUCUGGGCAGGCGCUUAAGCAAACUGAGUGAUUCUGUCACUGAACUGGUGUACUGAGGAACUCCAGAGUGAGUCAUUUGUUUCUGAUUCGCUUUCGUUUGCCACACAAACGACGUACUACGCAGUGAGCAUACUCAUGAGUGUCAGUGAUGAUGAAGAAGACAUGCUUCUUUUUGUCUUGGUCCCCAUUCUAUUUGUCACCUCCUUCAGGUUCCCAUACCCUCCUGCUCUUUCAGAACUUCAUCCUCAAAACGCCUUCACUGUCCAAUCUGUCCACCGUGGGGAACAGAGUCUGCAAACGCUCUACUGCCCCCCAACUGCCACCCCACCCAUCUUUGGAACUUACUAAGGCCUGAUCUCUGAAAAAGACUUGUUAACUCUCUUCAAAUUGAAGAUGACUGCAUAUCUAUUCUGAACUGCUCAUUCCCUUUAACGUUUCCCAUAUCAUUUGCUAUUUUAAAUUUCAUCUUCUGUUAUUUUUAUUGUAAUGGUUGAUUUAUUUCUGUGACAAAGGUGCCCGUGAAUAAAGUGAUUUUUUUCUUAAUACACACAAUUCACAUGUAUUCUUGUAUUCGCUUACUGUCUUUCCAUCAUCUGAAGUGAAUAGUCCAAUUUUGGUUCAAGGAUAUUGUAGUAAUAUUAUCUAUUUGUAGUAAUUUCAGGAAAUGUUAUUCUCAUGUUUAGAAAUAUAUAUAAUAAUUAGUGGUUAAAUAACAGAUUGAAGGGCAACACAUUGGCGUAGCUGUAAAGCAUUGGCCUCACAGUUCUGAGGACCAGAGUUAAAUCCCGGCCCUGCCUGUGUGGAGUUUGCAUGUUCUCCCAUACCUGUGUGGGUUUUCUCCGGGUACUCCAGUUUCCUUCCAGAUCGCAAAAACAUGUCCUGCGCUUGGCUGGCAACCAGUUCAGGGUGUACCCCGCCUCCUACCCGAUGAGAGCUGGGAUAGACUCCAGCACUCCCACGACCCUUGUGAGGAUAACCAGCAAAGAAAAUGGAUGGAUGCAUGGAUGGAUGGAUCGAUGGAUCACAGAUUAAAGUCAAGGAUUUCUGCCAACUUGAUGGAGGCGGUUGACUACAGGUGGAGAGAGUUGGAGGAAGUUGGGAAUCAAUCACUUUCAAAAUAUUUCAACUGAAAGGGUGGAAGUACAGGGCACUGAAAGGAGGAUGAGGCUACUUUCAAGGUUCCAUCGAGCUUUAGAAGGGCAAUCCGGUUACCUCCUUCGUGAGAUAGACGCUCUCAGGAGUCAUCCAGUAGUCUUGAGACAGAAUUCACCAAACUUUGGAUUGUUAGCCCGCUGAAAAGGAAGGUCAUGAGUGCCUGUAGUUAACAGGAACUUGAAGGUUUUGACGAUUGACAUUGGGCAGCUGGUUGGCGUCAGGGGCGCUGUGGAGAAGGUGGCUCCCUGAAGUCCACGAUAAUCUCUCCAUUCUUGAGGGUGUUCAGCUCCAGGUUGUGUUGCCUGCAACAAGGCACCAGCUGCUCCACUUCCUGUCGAUGCACAGACUCAUCACAAUCGUCACAAAGACAAAAUACGAAAAAAGCACUGAGCCAUAAGCCGCUGCAUCCGUGCAAGCCGCCACCACUAUUUCAUCUGUAGUUCUAUUCUAAAUUGUACACAUAAUGAAAUAUUGUUGAACACAUGGCAAUGUCAAUAAAGUUGGGAAAUUGUGUAGAUGGUAAAUGAAAACAAAAUACAAUCAUUUACAAAUCGUUUUCAAUGUUGUAUAACAACAAAGGUGGCAUAAUCAACUAUUUUGGGAAAAUAUUGACUUGUUUUGAAUGUGAUGGCUGAUACACAUUCAAAAAAAGCCAGGACAGGAUCAUGUUUACCACUGUAUUACAUCACCUUUCCUUUUUAACAACACUCAAGAAGUGUUUGGGAACUGAGGACACUCAUUGUUGAAGCUUUGUAGGAAGAAUUAUUUUCCAUUCUUGGUUGAUGUACAACUUCAGUUGCUCAACACUCUGAGGUCUCCAUUGUUGUAUUUUGUGCUUCAUAAUGCGCCAACAAAUUCAGUGAGAGACAGGCCUGGACUGCUGGCAGGCCAUUCUAGUAUUCGUACUCGUUCACUGUGAAGGCAAACUGUUCUUUCAGAGAUGUUCCUUUAAUACCUAAUCAUGACACUGACCUGUUUCCAUUUCCUGGAACUUGUUCAACCCUAGAUGAUUCUAAAUGGUGCUUUUGAAUAUUCAUGACAGUAUUUAUUUAAUUAUUUUUUUAUUUAUUUGCUUGCUUUUCUGUUUAUCUAUUUAGUUAUUUUAUGUUUGUUUAUUUGUUCAUUUAUUUGAUUGUUCA